UACGUAGGGGGCAAGCGUUGUCCGGAUUUAUUGGGCGUAAAGAGCGUGUAGGCGGCUGGGUAGGUCCGUUGUGAAAACUCGAGGCUCAACCUCGAGACGCCGAUGGAAACCCUCCAGCUAGAGUCCGGAAGAGGAGAGUGGAAUUCCUGGUGUAGCGGUGAAAUGCGCAGAUAUCAGGAGGAACACCUAUUGCGAAGGCAGCUCGCUGGGACGUAACUGACGCUGAGACGCGAAAGCGUGGGGAGCAAACAGG
rnacentral:rRNA from 1 species